CUCCCUUGUCACCCCCCCAGCCUCCGCAGAGGGCUGGCUCCUGGAGGACUGGCGAGGGACGAUUGGCUCACAAACGACCUCCUAGCUGUUCCAGAUUCACCAGGAUCUCAGUCUGACCCUCCGCCCCGGGGAACACAGAAGGGCCGGGUCCUGAGCAUAACAAAAGAUGAUGAUCACAAUAACCAGGAAAAGUAGAAAGCUUCCGAUCACACACCAAUGAUGUCUGCUGGCUAAAAGUGGGAAGGAGAAAAUGUCUCGGUUGUAUGUGGGAUGCCGCCACAUACAAGCGGCGAGUAGGCCCGCACCCAGGAUCCGAACCCGCGAACCCCAGGCCGCCGAAGCGGAGCGCGCAAACUUAACCACUAUGCCACUGGGCCGGCCCCUCUUUUUUCUCUUUUCUAUGGUAUCUAUAUGAGAUGAUAGAUGUGAACUAAACUUAGUGUGGUGAUCACUUUAUGAUACAUAUACAUCAAGUCAUUAUGCUGUACACCUUAAACUUAUAGAGCACUGUAUGUCAAUCAUAUCUCAAUAAAACGGGGAAAAAAAAGAACAAACAAACAAACAUCUCCGCUUGCUGGCCUGGCAGACCUUGCCCACCCUAGUGAGCAGGCCUCCUCUGGCCUGGCCUGGAGGCUGGGCCCAGCACGCGGUGGGGGUCGGGAGGAGAGGCUACCCCAGGUUGGCGCAGCUGAGGGCAGGGAGGUCUGACCCCUCCCCCAGGGUGGUGUGUGGUGGCAGGUCUCCAAGGGGCCUGGAGGAUUCAUUCUGCAGCACAGGUAUUUGAGGAAGGGUGCUCUGAUGCCCGCCCUGAGGAGAUGUCCUGUGCCUGCCCGCAACCUCGCGACAGUCCCCUUAGGAGACAGGCAUCAGGACACCUCGGCGAGUGGGGUUGGGCAGAGCCAUGCUGUGCCUCUGGUGACCAACGAGGGCUGGUUUGCCCUGUAUUGGCACUGAAAGUCCUGGUGUGCAAAAUUAAGAAAUAUGUGUAUUAGUCUCUGCCCCCGUUCCUGCUAAUAUUUGGUCUUUGACCCCAGUUGCUGACACAGAGCUCCUAAACCCUUGUAAUUCCCCGAGUGAUGGGAAUGUCUUUUGUUCUAAUGAGGUGGCUCUGGGUGAGCUCCUGGGUGGGGCCUGGCCACCAGAAGGACCAAGCAAUGAUUAGAAGUUGGAACCUCGAGCCCCACCCGGCAUCGUCCAGGGAGGGGAGAGAGGCUGGAAGUGGAGUUAAUGAUGGAUCAUGCCUCUGUGAUGAAGCCUCCAUAAAAUUCCCAAAAGAAGGGGGUUCGGAGAGCUUCCGAGUUGGUGAAUGCAUCUACGUGCCAGGAGGGUGGUACACUCCGAGUCCACGGGGAGAGAAGCUCCUGUGCUCAGGACCCUUCUGAACCUCACCCUAUGUACUUCUUCAACUGGCUGUGCAUCUGUUUCCUUCAUAAUAUCUUUUAUAAUAAACCAGUGAAUGUGGAUAAAUGUUUCCCUGAGUUCCGUGAGCUGCUUUACAAAUGACUGAAUCCAAGGAGGGGGUG